UACGGGGGGGGCAAGCGUUGUUCGGAAUUACUGGGCGUAAAGGGCUCGUAGGCGGCCAACUAAGUCAGACGUGAAAUCCCUCGGCUUAACCGGGGAACUGCGUCUGAUACUGGAUGGCUUGAGGUUGGGAGAGGGAUGCGGAAUUCCAGGUGUAGCAGUGAAAUGCGUAGAUAUCUGGAGGAACACCGGUGGCGAAGGCGGCAUCCUGGACCGGCAUUGACGCUGAGGCGCGAAAGCCAGGGGAGCAAACGGG
rnacentral:rRNA from 1 species